rnacentral:rRNA from 1 species
UACGUAGGGGGCUAGCGUUGUCCGGAAUCAUUGGGCGUAAAGAGCGUGUAGGCGGCCCGGUAAGUCCGCUGUAAAAGUUAAAGGCUCAACCUUUGAAUGUCAGUGGAUACUGCCGGGCUAGAGUCCGGAAGAGGCGAGUGGAACUCCUGGUGUAGCGGUGGAAUGCGCAGAUAUCAGGAAGAACACCAACGGCGAAGGCAGCUCGCUGGGACGGUACUGACGCUGAGACGCGAAAGCGUGGGGAGCGAACAGG